rnacentral:rRNA from 1 species
UUAAGCGACUAAGCGUACACGGUGGAUGCCCUGGCAGUCAGAGGCGAUGAAGGACGUGCUAAUCUGCGAUAAGCGUCGGUAAGGUGAUAUGAACCGUUAUAACCGGCGAUUUCCGAAUGGGGAAACCCAGUGUGAUUCGUCACACUAUCAUUAACUGAAUCCAUAGGUUAAUGAGGCGAACCGGGGGAACUGAAACAUCUAAGUACCCCGAGGAAAAGAAAUCAACCGAGAUUCCCCCAGUAGCGGCGAGCGAACGGGGAGGAGCCCAGAGCCUGAAUCAGUGUGUGUGUUAGUGGAAGCGUCUGGAAAGGCGCGCGAUACAGGGUGACAGCCCCGUACACAAAAAUGCACAUGCUGUGAGCUCGAUGAGUAGGGCGGGACACGUGGUAUCCUGUCUGAAUAUGGGGGGACCAUCCUCCAAGGCUAAAUACUCCUGACUGACCGAUAGUGAACCAGUACCGUGAGGGAAAGGCGAAAAGAACCCCGGCGAGGGGAGUGAAAAAGAACCUGAAACCGUGUACGUACAAGCAGUGGGAGCACGCUUAGGCGUGUGACUGCGUACCUUUUGUAUAAUGGGUCAGCGACUUAUAUUCUGUAGCAAGGUUAACCGAAUAGGGGAGCCGAAGGGAAACCGAGUCUUAACUGGGCGUUAAGUUGCAGGGUAUAGACCCGAAACCCGGUGAUCUAGCCAUGGGCAGGUUGAAGGUUGGGUAACACUAACUGGAGGACCGAACCGACUAAUGUUGAAAAAUUAGCGGAUGACUUGUGGCUGGGGGUGAAAGGCCAAUCAAACCGGGAGAUAGCUGGUUCUCCCCGAAAGCUAUUUAGGUAGCGCCUCGUGAAUUCAUCUCCGGGGGUAGAGCACUGUUUCGGCAAGGGGGUCAUCCCGACUUACCAACCCGAUGCAAACUGCGAAUACCGGAGAAUGUUAUCACGGGAGACACACGGCGGGUGCUAACGUCCGUCGUGAAGAGGGAAACAACCCAGACCGCCAGCUAAGGUCCCAAAGUCAUGGUUAAGUGGGAAACGAUGUGGGAAGGCCCAGACAGCCAGGAUGUUGGCUUAGAAGCAGCCAUCAUUUAAAGAAAGCGUAAUAGCUCACUGGUCGAGUCGGCCUGCGCGGAAGAUGUAACGGGGCUAAACCAUGCACCGAAGCUGCGGCAGCGACGCUUAUGCGUUGUUGGGUAGGGGAGCGUUCUGUAAGCCUGUGAAGGUGUACUGUGAGGUAUGCUGGAGGUAUCAGAAGUGCGAAUGCUGACAUAAGUAACGAUAAAGCGGGUGAAAAGCCCGCUCGCCGGAAGACCAAGGGUUCCUGUCCAACGUUAAUCGGGGCAGGGUGAGUCGACCCCUAAGGCGAGGCCGAAAGGCGUAGUCGAUGGGAAACAGGUUAAUAUUCCUGUACUUGGUGUUACUGCGAAGGGGGGACGGAGAAGGCUAUGUUGGCCGGGCGACGGUUGUCCCGGUUUAAGCGUGUAGGCUGGUUUUCCAGGCAAAUCCGGAAAAUCAAGGCUGAGGCGUGAUGACGAGGCACUACGGUGCUGAAGCAACAAAUGCCCUGCUUCCAGGAAAAGCCUCUAAGCAUCAGGUAACAUCAAAUCGUACCCCAAACCGACACAGGUGGUCAGGUAGAGAAUACCAAGGCGCUUGAGAGAACUCGGGUGAAGGAACUAGGCAAAAUGGUGCCGUAACUUCGGGAGAAGGCACGCUGAUAUGUAGGUGAGGUCCCUCGCGGAUGGAGCUGAAAUCAGUCGAAGAUACCAGCUGGCUGCAACUGUUUAUUAAAAACACAGCACUGUGCAAACACGAAAGUGGACGUAUACGGUGUGACGCCUGCCCGGUGCCGGAAGGUUAAUUGAUGGGGUUAGCCGCAAGGCGAAGCUCUUGAUCGAAGCCCCGGUAAACGGCGGCCGUAACUAUAACGGUCCUAAGGUAGCGAAAUUCCUUGUCGGGUAAGUUCCGACCUGCACGAAUGGCGUAAUGAUGGCCAGGCUGUCUCCACCCGAGACUCAGUGAAAUUGAACUCGCUGUGAAGAUGCAGUGUACCCGCGGCAAGACGGAAAGACCCCGUGAACCUUUACUAUAGCUUGACACUGAACAUUGAGCCUUGAUGUGUAGGAUAGGUGGGAGGCUUAGAAGUGUGGACGCCAGUCUGCAUGGAGCCGACCUUGAAAUACCACCCUUUAAUGUUUGAUGUUCUAACGUUGACCCGUAAUCCGGGUUGCGGACAGUGUCUGGUGGGUAGUUUGACUGGGGCGGUCUCCUCCUAAAGAGUAACGGAGGAGCACGAAGGUUGGCUAAUCCUGGUCGGACAUCAGGAGGUUAGUGCAAUGGCAUAAGCCAGCUUGACUGCGAGCGUGACGGCGCGAGCAGGUGCGAAAGCAGGUCAUAGUGAUCCGGUGGUUCUGAAUGGAAGGGCCAUCGCUCAACGGAUAAAAGGUACUCCGGGGAUAACAGGCUGAUACCGCCCAAGAGUUCAUAUCGACGGCGGUGUUUGGCACCUCGAUGUCGGCUCAUCACAUCCUGGGGCUGAAGUAGGUCCCAAGGGUAUGGCUGUUCGCCAUUUAAAGUGGUACGCGAGCUGGGUUUAGAACGUCGUGAGACAGUUCGGUCCCUAUCUGCCGUGGGCGCUGGAGAACUGAGGGGGGCUGCUCCUAGUACGAGAGGACCGGAGUGGACGCAUCACUGGUGUUCGGGUUGUCAUGCCAAUGGCACUGCCCGGUAGCUAAAUGCGGAAGAGAUAAGUGCUGAAAGCAUCUAAGCACGAAACUUGCCCCGAGAUGAGUUCUCCCUGACUCUUUAAGGGUCCUGAAGGAACGUUGAAGACGACGACGUUGAUAGGCCGGGUGUGUAAGCGCAGCGAUGCGUUGAGCUAACCGGUACUAAUGAACCGUGAGGCUUAACCUU